CCGACGGGUGAGUAACACGUAUGCAAUCCACCCUGUAACAGGGGGAGUAACCCCGGAAAAUACCGGACUAAUACCCCAUAAUAUGGGCGCUCCGCAUGGAGAGUUCAUUAAAGAGAGCAAUUUUGGUUACAGACGAGCAUGCGCUCCAUUAGCCAGUUGGCGGGGUAACGGCCCACCAAGGCGACGAUGGAUAGGGGUUCUGAGAGGAAGGUCCCCCACAUUGGAACUGAGACACGGUCCAA
rnacentral:rRNA from 1 species